GAUUUAUUGGGCGUAAAGCGCGCGCAGGUGGUUUCUUAAGUCUGAUGUGAAAGCCCACGGCUCAACCGUGGAGGGUCAUUGGAAACUGGGGAACUUGAGUGCAGAAGAGGAUAGUGGAAUUCCAAGUGUAGCGGUGAAAUGCGUAGAGAUUUGGAGGAACACCAGUGGCGAAGGCGACUGUCUGGUCUGUAACUGACACUGAGGCGCGAAAGCGUGGGGAGCA
rnacentral:rRNA from 1 species